AUAUUGUUUUGUCUGUUUAUUUUCAUAAAUCAUAAGAGUUAUUCUGAAGAAAAAAAUAUUUUUGAUACGGACAUAUGCAUUAGUAAUGAAUGAUCUGAAAGUUAGUAUACCAAAAAUAAAUUGCAUUAUUAGUAACUUACUAACGAAAUCGUUAUUUGUCAUUUUGUGUUAUUUUCUCUUUUCAAAAUUAUUCAAUUAAAAUUGCUAAAAACAACAAAAUUACUAAAUAAAGCUUAACUAAUACUUAAUUGAUAGGGGGCCCAGCUCCUAUAAUAUUUUAGAGGGCCUACCGGGAUUUUCCCGUUAUCCCGAUGGGCCAGUACGCGCCUGUUUCUUAACUAUCCGUUAACUAAAUUCGCUUCUGUUACGCAUCACGCACGUGUUCAAGUGACGGACUUUUAGUGUAAGUAUUGCAUACAAGUUUUGUUUUGUAAUAUUGUCGUUCGUUGUAAUAGUUUAAAAUUUAUUCUAAUAUGAUUACAUACACAUAUGUCUUACACAUGAGCCACCGCAAUGGAACCGUAUUAUCUAAAAUGCGUUCAACACAGGAUGAAAAGCGUUUU